ensembl:lncRNA
CCUCCUCGUCUUUCACUUUCACCCAGCACCCAGAAGCAGAGUAACUUCCUCCUCCAUUUCCUUCCUCGGCGCUGGGCCCAGGACCCAAAAGGCGAUGAGAGCCCCUGCUGGUGUGCAAUCCCUUUGUCAGUAUUUACGGAAGUUUCCAAGAGGGAGUGAGAAAGAGACCAGCAGAACAUUCAGCAGGAGAGAGGUCUCUGAGGAAGAUGUACCACUGCCUGUGAGACCUUCCCACUCAUUUCCUCUGGCCAAGACCUCCUCAUCCUUCAAGUCUCAGACACGGCUUCCUCUGGGAAGCUCCCCUGACCCUGAGGCUGAGACAGGAACUGCAGCGAGUUCAUCACACCGCCUGACCUCACCCCCACAUGCUCAGCACACUAAGUCCCAGGUGCCCGCUUCCUCAUUCCCAGCAGAAGGCGCAGAGUUUGCAGACUUUGACACUUUGUCUGUAGGUGGCUCGUGGGAUGCUCAUUUAAGGCGGCAACCAAGUGCUGGGAAUGGAAUCAAAGGCCCUAUCCAUGCUAGCCAAGCACUCUACAACUAAGCUAUAGCCCCAGCCCAAGGCAACUGCUUUUAUCGUCCCUCUCCCCAACUGCCCUACAAAUACCCACAGAAUGUCCUCAGAGGCCAGGAGAACAAGGUCCCUUUUACAGCAGGGGUCAGUGAAGCAGAGAGAAACAAAGUCAUGGGCAAAGCCAGCAGAGGACUAAGCCUCCAGGCUGAGUUUCUAACUACACAUUAAGGGACUGACCGGCUGCCUCCCUCCUGCGCAAGGGCCACCAAGGAUCACGGGUAGUCCAGGAAACCCCCUCUCCACAGGACUUGGGACUCAGCAGGAAAAAGUGGAGGCUCUCUCUACAAGAAUCGCAAC